rnacentral:rRNA from 1 species
CACGGGGGGUUGCGAGCGUUGUCCGGAAUUACUAGGCGUAAAGGGCAGGCAGGCGGAUCCAUAAGUUUAUCGUUUAAGGCGUCGGCUUAACCGGCGUAGGGAGGUAGAUACUGUGGAUCUGGAAUGCGGUUGGGGAAGACAGAAUUCCUGGUGUAGCGGUGGAAUGCGCAGAGAUCAGGAGGAAUACCGAAGGCGAAGGUAGUCUUCCAAGCCGUUAUUGACGCUCAACUGCGAAGGUGUGGGUAUCAAACAGGAUUAGAUACCCCCGUAGUUCCUGAGCGGGCU